rnacentral:rRNA from 1 species
AUGCACCGAAGCUGCGGCAGCGACACUAUGUGUUGUUGGGUAGGGGAGCGUUCUGUAAGCCUGUGAAGGUGUGUCGUGAGGCAUGCUGGAGGUAUCAGAAGUGCGAAUGCUGACAUAAGUAACGAUAAAGCGGGUGAAAAGCCCGCUCGCCGGAAGACCAAGGGUUCCUGUCCAACGUUAAUCGGGGCAGGGUGAGUCGACCCCUAAGGCGAGGCCGAAAGGCGUAGUCGAUGGGAAACGGGUUAAUAUUCCCGUACUUGGUGUUACUGCGAAGGGGGGACGGAGAAGGCUAUGUUGGCCGGGCGACGGUUGUCCCGGUUUAAGCGUGUAGGUGUGUGUUCCAGGUAAAUCCGGUUCACUUUAACACUGAGGCGUGACGACGAGGCACUACGGUGCUGAAGCAACAAAUGCCCUGCUUCCAGGAAAAGCCUCUAAGCAUCAGGUAACAUCAAAUCGUACCCCAAACCGACACAGGUGGUCAGGUAGAGAAUACCAAGGCGCUUGAGAGAACUCGGGUGAAGGAACUAGGCAAAAUGGUGCCGUAACUUCGGGAGAAGGCACGCUGACACGUAGGUGAAGUGAUUUACUCAUGGAGCUGAAGUCAGUCGAAGAUACCAGCUGGCUGCAACUGUUUAUUAAAAACACAGCACUGUGCAAACACGAAAGUGGACGUAUACGGUGUGACGCCUGCCCGGUGCCGGAAGGUUAAUUGAUGGGGUCAGCGCAAGCGAAGCUCCUGAUCGAAGCCCCGGUAAACGGCGGCCGUAACUAUAACGGUCCUAAGGUAGCGAAAUUCCUUGUCGGGUAAGUUCCGACCUGCACGAAUGGCGUAAUGAUGGCCAGGCUGUCUCCACCCGAGACUCAGUGAAAUUGAACUCGCUGUGAAGAUGCAGUGUACCCGCGGCAAGACGGAAAGACCCCGUGAACCUUUACUAUAGCUUGACACUGAACAUUGAGCCUUGAUGUGUAGGAUAGGUGGGAGGCUUUGAAGUGUGGACGCCAGUCUGCAUGGAGCCGACCUUGAAAUACCACCCUUUAAUGUUUGAUGUUCUAACGUGGACCCGUGAUCCGGGUUGCGGACAGUGUCUGGUGGGUAGUUUGACUGGGGCGGUCUCCUCCUAAAGAGUAACGGAGGAGCACGAAGGUUGGCUAAUCCUGGUCGGACAUCAGGAGGUUAGUGCAAUGGCAUAAGCCAGCUUGACUGCGAGCGUGACGGCGCGAGCAGGUGCGAAAGCAGGUCAUAGUGAUCCGGUGGUUCUGAAUGGAAGGGCCAUCGCUCAACGGAUAAAAGGUACUCCGGGGAUAACAGGCUGAUACCGCCCAAGAGUUCAUAUCGACGGCGGUGUUUGGCACCUCGAUGUCGGCUCAUCACAUCCUGGGGCUGAAGUAGGUCCCAAGGGUAUGGCUGUUCGCCAUUUAAAGUGGUACGCGAGCUGGGUUUAGAACGUCGUGAGACAGUUCGGUCCCUAUCUGCCGUGGGCGCUGGAGAACUGAGGGGGGCUGCUCCUAGUACGAGAGGACCGGAGUGGACGCAUCACUGGUGUUCGGGUUGUCAUGCCAAUGGCACUGCCCGGUAGCUAAAUGCGGAAGAGAUAAGUGCUGAAAGCAUCUAAGCACGAAACUUGCCCCGAG